UAAUUAAUGCAAGUUUAUGUUUAUAUGCUUAGGUAAAUGAAUCAUGCACUUUUAUAUUAUUUUGACUAUAAUCUCAGAAAAUUAAUUGAAAGAUUUUCUUUAGAAAAAUAUAAUUAACACAAGUUUAUGUUUUUAUGUAGAUUGAUAUGCUUAGGUAAAUGAAUCAUGCACUUUUAUAUUAUUUUGACUAUAAUGUCAGAAAAUUAAUUGAAAAAUUUUCUUACAAAAAUAUAAAUAAUGCAAGUUUAUGUUUAUAUGUUUAGGUAAAUGAAUCAUGCACUUUUAUAUUAUUUUGACUAUAAUCUCAUAAAAUUAAUUGAAAGAUUUUCUUACGAAAAUAUAAUUAAUGCAAAUUUAUGUUUAUAUGCUUAGGUAAAUGAACCAUGCACUUUUAUAUUAUUUUGACUAUAAUCUCAGAAAAUUAAAAGAUUUUCUUUACAAAAAUAUAAUUAAUGCAAGUUUAUGUUUAUAUGUGUAUAUAUAUAUAUAUAUAUGUCAAUAUAAAAUAUAAUAGAACUCUCAAACAAUUUAUAAAACAUCCUACAAAAUGAGUCUCUCCAAAAAAUAUAUAUUAAUCGCAUUUGUUUUCACUCUUUUCUUCGCGAUGUCAAUUGUUCGCUGCACCGAUAUUGUUUCAGAUUUCGGAGUAAAGUAUAAUGUGUGCUAUGGUCCAUGUGACGACAAAGGAGUGUGUAGGCCGUUUUGUUCUUCCAAAAAAGGUCUGAUAAGGGGAGACUGUGCUGGCAAACGAAAAGGUUAUCUUGGCCUUUGUUGUUGUGAUGAACACUAAAUAAAAUAUUAAAUAAUAUCAUUAGAUAUUAUAUCUUGUAUGAAAUGAAAUAAUAUUACCAAUAAUACAUAAAAUGCUUUUACAAAAAAAUAUAUAAAAUGUUAUCAAAUUGAAGUUACUUUGAUUAACCUCGAGAAAACAUUAGU